rnacentral:rRNA from 1 species
ACGAGCUCUUCAGGAGCUAGUGGCGGACGGGUGAGUAACGCGUGAGAACCUGCCUACCAGACGGGGACAACAGCGGGAAACCGCUGCUAAUACCCGAUAAGCCGAGAGGUGAAAGAUUAAUUGCUGGAAGAGGGGCUCGCGUCCGAUUAGCUAGUUGGUAAGGUAAAAGCGUACCAAGGCGACGAUCGGUAGCUGGUCUGAGAGGACGAGCAGCCACACUGGGACUGAGACACGGCCCAGACUCCUACGGGAGGCAGCAGUGGGGAAUUUUCCGCAAUGGGCGAAAGCCUGACGGAGCAAGACCGCGUGUGGGAGGAAGGCUCUUGGGUCGUAAACCACUUUUCUCAGGGAAGAAGAAAGUGACGGUACCUGAGGAAGAAGCCUCGGCUAACUCCGUGCCAGCAGCCGCGGUAAUACGGAGGAGGCAAGCGUUAUCCGGAAUGAUUGGGCGUAAAGCGUCCGUAGGUGGUCUAUCAAGUCGGCGGUAAAAGACCGAAGCUUAACUUCGGAGUGGCCGUGGAAACUGAGAGACUAGAGAGCGACAGGGGCAGAGGGAAUUCCCAGUGUAGCGGUGAAAUGCGUAGAGAUUGGGAAGAACACCAGUGGCGAAAGCGCUCUGCUGGGUCGCAACUGACACUGAGGGACGAAAGCUAGGGGAGCGAAAGGGAUUAGAUACCCCUGUAGUCCUAGCCGUAAACGAUGGAUACUAGGCGUGGCUUGUAUCGACCCGAGCG